rnacentral:rRNA from 1 species
UACGUAGGGUGCAAGCGUUGUCCCGGAAUUAUUGGGCGUAAAGAGCUCGUAGGCGGUCUGUCGCGUCGAAUGUGAAAACCCGGGGCUCAACCCCGGGCCUGCAUUCGAUACGGGCAGACUAGAGUUCGGUAGGGGAGUCUGGAAUUCCUGGUGUAGCGGUGAAAUGCGCAGAUAUCAGGAGGAACACCGAUGGCGAAGGCAGUGGUCUGGGCCGAUACUGACGCUGAGGAGCGAAAGCGUGGGGAGCGAACAGG